CAAUAGCGUAUAUUAAAGUUGUUGCAGUUAAAAAGCUCGUAGUUGGAUUUCUGGUGGGAGCGAUCGGUCUGGCGCUUAGCGCGAGUACUUGCAUCGUCUCCGGCCAUCCUUGGGGAGAGUCUGUCUGGCAUUAGGUUGUCGGGCAGAGGAUCCUCAUCGUUUACUGUGAAAAAAUUAGAGUGUUCAAAGCAGGCUUAUGCCGUUGAAUAUAUUAGCAUGGAAUAAUAAGAUAGGACUUUGGUACUAUUUUGUUGGUUUGCGCACCAAAGUAAUGAUUAAUAGGGACAGUUGGGGGUAUUCGUAUUCCGUUGUCAGAGGUGAAAUUCUUGGAUUUACGGAAGGCGAACUACUGCGAAAGCAUUUACCAAGGAUGUUUUCAUUA
rnacentral:rRNA from 1 species